GUCGAGCGGAUGAGAGGAGCUUGCUCCUUGAUUUAGCGGCGGACGGGUGAGUAAUGCCUAGGAAUCUGCCUGGUAGUGGGGGAUAACGUUCCGAAAGGAACGCUAAUACCGCAUACGUCCUACGGGAGAAAGCAGGGGACCUUCGGGCCUUGCGCUAUCAGAUGAGCCUAGGUCGGAUUAGCUAGUUGGUGAGGUAAUGGCUCACCAAGGCGACGAUCCGUAACUGGUCUGAGAGGAUGAUCAGUCACACUGGAACUGAGACACGGUCCAGACUCCUACGGGAGGCAGCAGUGGGGAAUAUUGGACAAUGGGCGAAAGCCUGAUCCAGCCAUGCCGCGUGUGUGAAGAAGGUCUUCGGAUUGUAAAGCACUUUAAGUUGGGAGGAAGGGCAUUAACCUAAUACGUUAGUGUUUUGACGUUACCGACAGAAUAAGCACCGGCUAACUUCGUGCCAGCAGCCGCGGUAAUACGAAGGGUGCAAGCGUUAAUCGGAAUUACUGGGCGUAAAGCGCGCGUAGGUGGUUCGUUAAGUUGGAUGUGAAAGCCCCGGGCUCAACCUGGGAACUGCAUCCAAAACUGGCGAGCUAGAGUACGGUAGAGGGUGGUGGAAUUUCCUGUGUAGCGGUGAAAUGCGUAGAUAUAGGAAGGAACACCAGUGGCGAAGGCGACCACCUGGACUGAUACUGACACUGAGGUGCGAAAGCGUGGGG
rnacentral:rRNA from 1 species